CCAAUAGCGUAUAUUAAAGUUGUUGCAGUUAAAAAGCUCGUAGUUGAAUUUCGGAAUCUGUCCAUCGGUCGGGCUUCACUGUCCGUACUGGUGUGGUGGGUUCUUACCUUCUGAAUAACCAGCAUGCCAUUCAUUUGGUGCGUUGGGGAAGCAGGACUAUUACCUUGAAAAAAUUAGAGUGCUCAAAGCAGGCUAGUGCCUGAAUAUAUUAGCAUGGAAUAAUAAAAUAGGACGGCAUGGUUCUAUUUUGUUGGUUUCUAGGAUCACCGUAAUGAUUAAUAGGGAUAGUUGGGGGCAUUAGUAUUCAAUUGUCAGAGGUGAAAUUCUUGGAUUUAUUGAAGACUAACUUCUGCGAAAGCAUUUGCCAAGGAUGUUUUCAUUAAUCAAGAACGAAAGUUAGGGGAUCGAAGACGAUCAGAUACCGUCGUAGUCUUAACCAUAAACUAUGCCGCCUAGGGAUCGGACGAUGUUAAUUUUUUAAUGACUCGUUCGGCGCCUUACG
rnacentral:rRNA from 1 species